CUGUUAUGAUACUAUUAAGAGUUUCAUUGAACUGGUUUGGUACUUGCGAAACAGGGAUAUCGUCGACUGAAUCCGACGAAUUCAAGUCUUUAAAGAAAUCAAAGAGAACAUCGAUGGAAAUUUUUUGACUACGUUUUUCUCUUUUUUCAUUUAAAAUUUUCCAGAACUCCUUAGAGUUACUGUUUUUUAAAUUUUGCAUCUUUUUUCUAAAAGUCUUUCUAUACUCUUGUAUAGAACAAUCCAUCUGCUUUUUAUACUUUCUCUCUGCAUCUUUCAUUUGAACUUGAUUAUCUGUUGUUUUGUUGUUUUUAUAUCGUCGUUUUGCAAUUCGUGAGCACUUUCUUUGCUCCCAGCAUUUUUUGUCAAACCAUGGUUUGCUUUCCUUUGUGUUCUUUUUAACCUUCGUGUUAUAAGUAAUGGUACCUAGUACCUUUUCUGCUGAUUCCAAAAGUAUUUCAUUUAUAUGUUCGGACAAUUUAUUUACAGAAUUUUGCGACAAAACACUUGAAUGCAAAAACACUAAUUCAUUUUCUAAUUCUGCAAUCUUAUUUCCAUCAAUGUUCUCAAUGAAAUCUUGUUUUUUUUCAUUAUCCCAUUUUUUUAACUUAAUAUUUUC
rnacentral:lncRNA from 1 species